rfam:Macleaya cordata isolate BLH2017 scaffold7581, whole genome shotgun sequence.
UGAUGAAUGACAGUGCAAUCUUCCCUUGGCAGAGAGAACGAUAGUACAGUAUUUCGAUAACAUACUCUUAUAACUUUCUGUCUGCCAAGGGAGAAUUGCCCCGCCAUUCGCCC